AACGUAGGUACCGAGCGUUAUCCGGAUUUACUGGGCGUAAAGCGCGUUCAGGCGGUUUGGCAAGUCGGGCAUGAAAUCUCUCGGCUCAACCGGGAGAGGUUGUCCGAUACUGUCAGACUUGAGGGCAGUAGAGGGUGGUGGAAUUCCGGGUGUAGUGGUGAAAUGCGUAGAGAUCCGGAGGAACACCAGUGGCGAAAGCGGCCACCUGGACUGCACCUGACGCUCAAACGCGAAAGCUAGGGGAGCGAACGGG
rnacentral:rRNA from 1 species